rnacentral:rRNA from 1 species
UUUUAUCAGAGAGUUUGAUCCUGGCUCAGGAUGAACGCUGGCGGCGUGCUUAACACAUGCAAGUCGAACGGGAAACCUUUUAUUGAAGCUUCGGCAGAUUUAGCUGGUUU